rnacentral:rRNA from 1 species
UCCUACGGGACGCAGCAGUGGGGAAUCUUGCACAAUGGGCGAAAGCCUGAUGCAGCAACGCCGCGUGAGCGAAGAAGGCCUUUGGGUCGUAAAGCUCUGUCCUAAGGGAAGAAGGAAGUGACGGUACCUUAGGAGGAAGCCCCGGCUAACUACGUGCCAGCAGCCGCGGUAAUACGUAGGGGGCAAGCGUUAUCCGGAAUUAUUGGGCGUAAAGAGUACGUAGGCGGUUCUUUUAGCGCAGGGGUUAAGGCGAUAGCUUAACUAUCGUUCGCCCUGUGAACUGGGGGAAUUGAGUAUCGGAGGGG